CACUGUCUAACUGAAUAGGCAUUCCCCCAUCACUAACUCCCAUUACGUUACUAAAACUAUCACGACUUAGCUCUAACUUAGUUCCGUUCAAUUCUAUUGUGUAAUUGCAUGUGUCGAUUCUCUCAACUAACCAACUGCAUAGUUUCCUUUUUAGCCUUCCACAAUUCAGCUGUAUCAGUUUGCCCAAUCCCAUCUCACGUACUGCUUCUUUUUGUUCCUCUGUCAAUUUCGCCACCACGGCUGCAAGCCUGUCUGGAGCACAUCUGGUGAGAAACUUUGCUUCAGAUCCCACAUAUUUAUCCCCUCGAUAAUGUUGACUUAUAUAUUCACUUUUCCUCUCAGGUGGCAAAUUCUUAAAUUCUAGUCCAAUUUCCUUGCGUACCUACGUUAUGCCAAUUGACAUUAUUAUGUCUUUUUUUCAAAACACCCUAAAAUGCAUGAUUUAUAUUACCAACAAUACUUCGAAUUGACUAACCUCUUUCGUAAUGCAUGCUCGUCCAUCUAUUGCCUAUUAAAAUAAAACCAGCUCAAUGUAACAGAACAUAAUCCUUCGUUAAAUUACAUUAACAAUUUACAAACUUUUCCUGCUCUUUUCACAAUUUUCCAUCCGUACUCCUUGCCACAAAUCCUUAUUCACAUCAACAAUAUUUUACCUUUGUGCUUCUAUAGCCGCCUUUCUUCUCUAUCCACUUAAGUAACCUCUUUAUCUCUGACCCAUUCCAUAGUGCUACUGGGCAGAUUGAUCUAUCUCACCGAAUUCCUCCAUACACAAUUGAAUUAAAGUACAAUAUCUGACACAAGAUAUACCCACACACAUAAUAUAUUUCAUAACAGUAUACAAAUGGUUUAUUGAAAAUCAAAUAAUACACCCAAAUCAGUUACAUAUUCAGCGUAAGUGCAAAUAGAUUAAUAAUUUAUUACCUCCAAGUAUAACACACAACCACCAACAUAUGCUAGCUUCUCUUCCUUGUACCUGAUAAUACCUUGCAUCAAUCUAUCGAAGCAAAAUGUUGCCCAGUUCAUCUUCCUUAUAUAGUCAACAUCGAUCACAGAAAACAAAAAUGAUGAACUUAUAUGUACCCCAAUUGGAGAACAUAGUACACUGCAUAAUGUGAACAGCAUAAAUGACACUUUGAAAUUCUCGUCGGCCUGCCUACAAAUUCCACUGGAUGUUGCAUUAAACUUGUCUAAGUAUACUGCCACUCGUGACUUAUCACUGUCUAACUGAAUAGGCAUUCCCCCAUCACUAACUCCCAUUACGUUACUAAAACUAUCACGACUUAGCUCUAACUUAGUUCCGUUCAAUUCUAUUGUGUAAUUGCAUGUGUCGAUUCUCUCAACUAACCAACUGCAUAGUUUCCUUUUUAGCCUUCCACAAUUCAGCUGUAUCAGUUUGCCCAAUCCCAUCUCACGUACUGCUUCUUUUUGUUCCUCUGUCAAUUUCGCCACCACGGCUGCAAGCCUGUCUGGAGCACAUCUGGUGAGAAACUUUGCUUCAGAUCCCACAUAUUUAUCCCCUCGAUAAUGUUGACUUAUAUAUUCACUUUUCCUCUCAGGUGGCAAAUUCUUAAAUUCUAGUCCAAUUUCCUUG
rnacentral:lncRNA from 1 species